rnacentral:rRNA from 1 species
UACGGAGGGGCUGAGCGUUGUUCGGAAUUACUGGGCGUAAAGCGCACGUAGGCGGCUUUGUAAGUUAGAGGUGAAAGCCCAGGGCUUAACCCUGGAAUUGCCUUUAAGACUGCAUCGCUUGAAUUGUGGAGAGGUGAGUGGAAUUCCGAGUGUAGAGGUGAAAUUCGUAGAUAUUCGGAAGAACACCAGUGGCGCAAGGCGGACUCACUGGACACAUAUUGACGCUGAGGUGCGAAAGCGUGGAGCAACAGG